UUAUUUCGUAUUGCAUGCCUGUAUCAAAACAUCUCAUGUACCCCAUAAAUAUGUAACUACUAUGUACCCACAAAAAUUUAAAAAAUAAAAUGUUGUUGUACUAUUUUAAGGUUUUUUUCAUCUUUAAGGUUCUUUUCCUGAAGAGAAUUCCCAUCAGCAACAGAUUAUCUCUUUAAAGCAUUUUUACAUGUUAUAUGUUCUAAUAUAUACAAUUGUAUAGAAAAGAGCAAAAUGAACCAUUACCCAUUUCAAUAUUUAUCAUGUGCAGUCUUGAUUUUUCAUUUUUUCAAUUUUUAUUUUUUAAGAGACAGAUUCUGUGUUGCCCAGCUUGGUCUUGAACUCCAGGCCUCAGGCGAUCCUCUCACCUCAGCCUCCCAAGUAGCUGGAAUUACCGGUGUGAGCCAUUGUCGCCUGGCUGCAAUCUUGUUUUUUAUACUUAAUCCACAUCCCACCUCCCCAACCCAGAAUAUUUUGAGGCUAAUUCCAUACAUAUUUACAUAUAUAUACAUCUCUCAAAGAAAAUAACUUAUUUUCCAUUCUUCAUAUAUCUAUUCCUAUAAAUAAUGUUCUUGGGGGAAAAAGUUUUCACAUUUAAUUUUUAGUGUUACCAAUUUGAGCAUUAAUAUUUUCUUCCUACUAGGGACUGGUUUGGCUGAAAGACAAAGAAGCAACACAUUGUAAACUUUGUGAAAAGGAAUUCUCACUCUCUAAGAGAAAGCACCACUGUAGAAAUUGUGGGGAAAUUUUCUGUAAUGCCUGCUCUGACAACGAACUACCUUUGCCUUCUUCACCAAAACCAGUACGGGUUUGUGAUUCCUGUCAUGCACUGCUCAUUCAGAGAUGCUCAUCUAACUUGCCCUGAGACUCCAGAACUAAAUCCUUAUGUAUGAAAUUACCUACAAUGAAUGUUAUGAUGUUGUAUACAAAGGUAACCAGACAGCUCUCCUUAAGCGGCUUUCGGUCAGUAUUUGGUACCAGUUUAUCUUCUACAUAUUCAGCUCAUGGAAAUUACAAGUUAUAUAUUUCCUUCCCCAUUGUUUUUCAAAAUGUAUUUUCAACAGAGCAUGCUUAAAAAUCAUGUAACUCAUUAAAAGGCCAGAGAGCAGAGCUAACACAACUUGCCUUAUCUUGUAAAGGCCUUAAAAAUAAGGCUUCAGAUUGUUUUUUUCUUCUGAAUUCUGUCAAUUUGGUAUUUGAUGGUGCCUGCAGUUCUCUUAAUGCACUUUAAAGCUUCACAGUUCUGAAACUGGAAACGCAUAAAACUUUUAAAAUUAUUAAUAUUCUAAUUCAACAGAUUUUCAUUAUCUUUGUAAGAUUUCAACUAUAUUUAUUUGCCCUUUCUUCUCCCCCUCUCCCUUUGCCUCUUGCAUUAGACAGGGCCAAUAUUUUGUCCUACAAAAUUUCCUCUUGGUCUCUUUAAAAAUCAGUUAUUGUCGUGCUUGCUGAAGAUUUUCAGCUACAGUGGAUUAAAUUAAAGGGGGCAUUAUUUGGCCUCGGCCUCUACUUUUUUCCUUUUAAUCUUGAAAGGAAGUUACAUAUAACCAUCUUUCUUUUCCUGAUUUAUAAAUCUUCCCAUAUGCUGUUUCAUUAAAUUGCUGUUUUUUUAAGGGGUGACUCAGACCCCAAUUCAAAGAUGAAAACACAAAUCCUUCCCCAGAAAAAAAAGUAUGUAAUAGUAGGGGAUGUUACAGGCUCCUUAUAAAGGUCCUCUCCUCUAAGCAUUAAAAGUGAGAAAAAAAUCAGGACUUUGCUUUGGUAAUGUAUUAGAGUUCAGUUCAAAAAAUUUUGUAUUAACAUUUUCAUUGGAGUAAAUUUUAGGAAGUAUCACAUUGUAGUGGCCUACCUGUAUACAUCCACAGUAAAAUUUCACCAUGUCCAUUGAGCACCUCUAUGCCAAGGGUGUUGAGAUGAUGAAAUAUACACUUGACCUAUUUCUUUUUUUUUCGAGAUGGAGUUUCACUCUUGUUGCCUAGGCUGGAGUGCAAUGGCACGAUCUCCACCUCCUGGGUUCAAGCAAUUCUCCUGCCUCAGCCUCCCAAGUAGCUGGGAUUACAGGCGUGAGCCACAGCACCUGGCCAGUACACUUGACCUAUUUCAAGCUGACUCAAUGAACACUAAUCCAAGUUAUAUUGCUUAUGGCAUACUAAGAAUUUAACUUGUAUAAAUUACCUCUGAAUAGUUACAUAAACACUAUCACCAUUCAGUAUCCUAUUUUUUACAUUAAUUUUUAACCAUGCACUUUAAGUUUGUGAGCCUAUAAAAAAUACAUAGAAAAUUUAUGGAUUAAGAGCAUUAUAUUUAGUGGUUAAUCCUAGGUACCUCCCUGCCUACAAAGGAGUUCUUAUUAAUACUGCAGGAUCUUUUCUUCAUGAAUAUAUGCUUCCAUGAAAUUUAAAUUUUUCUGAAUAGCCUAAGUAUGAAAUGAAUAUUUUACUUGAAGAUCUAUUUUUUCCAAAACCCGUAAAUUUCCAGUCAGCUUUUGAGGUGUCAGAUGUGACACAGAUUUCUAGAUGGUCUUUCUUGAAUACUGACAGAAAUGUCCUCAAGAGAGGAUUAUAUUCUUGAACCAUUUUGUAUUGAUAGGUGGGAUGGGCUAACAUUUUUAUGAUUACUGAAUAAACAAAAAAUGAAAUUUUCAAAUAUGCUUUUUUAUUACUGUGCUUAGAACAAAUUUUAAAAUGUGACUUAAGUUGCUUAAAUUCCAAGGCUAAUUUCAUUCAACAAACCAUGAUUUUGUCAUCCUUUAAGUAAGUUUCUCACUUUUCAAAACUCAUGUAUCAACACUGACUGACUUGCUUUUUUUUUUUUUUUUUUUUUUUUUAGGCAGCUUUUAUGACAGCAACUUGCUCCAUGUAGUUUUGGCUUAUUUAAAAACUAUACUAACUUUGGAUUUUUCUGUUACAAGACUUUUAACAAUCUGUAUUUCGUGAUUGUGAACUCGUAUUCAUUUUACUUUUCAAAAACAGACUUAACAUACCAUUCCCUCACCUAGCAGUACUACCACAAUAAUGCUAUCAUGGUGCCAGGGAAUUACAAUUGUAAUUCUUCUAACCUAUAAUGUUUAAAAAAUAAAAUGUGAAUUUUAUGAACUAAAUAAAUAUUUGGAAAAUUAGCCUGCUUUAAAAGGGCAAUUUUGGUUUCAUUAAUACUGUAUACUUUUACUGCUUUAAGAUGUUAAGAGAGUAAUCCUGGGAAAAUAAAACACAUACAACUUUCAAAAAAGA
rnacentral:tRNA from 10 species